ensembl:miRNA gmo-mir-22b gmo-mir-22b
CGUUCUUCACUAGCUAGCUUUACGCCGCGCUCACGCUAAAGCUGCCAGUUGAAGAG